rnacentral:rRNA from 1 species
UACGGGGGGGGCAAGCGUUGUUCGGAAUUACUGGGCGUAAAGGGCGCGUAGGCGGCCCUCUAAGUCAGACGUGAAAUCCCACGGCUCAACCGUGGAACUGCGUCUGAUACUGGAGGGCUUGAAUCCGGGAGAGGGAUGUGGAAUUCCAGGUGUAGCGGUGAAAUGCGUAGAUAUCUGGAGGAACACCGGUGGCGAAGGCGGGUCUCUGGGCCGAUACUGACGCUGAGGAGCGAAAGCGUGGGGAGCGAACAGG